rfam:Triticum aestivum genome assembly, contig: Triticum_aestivum_CS42_TGACv1_scaffold_545117_6DS
AUACUACUCCCUUCGUUUGAAAUUAUUUGUCUCGGAAAUGGAUGUAUCUAGACGUAUUUACGUCUAGAUACAUCCAUUUCCGAGAUAAAUAAUUUCAAACGGAGGGAGUACUAU